AUUUAUAUAGUUUAAAUAAAACAAUACAUUUUCAUUGUAUAAAUAAUAUACCUAUAUUUAUAAAUA
rnacentral:tRNA from 1 species